UACGGAGGGGGCUAGCGUUGUUCGGAAUUACUGGGCGUAAAGCGCACGUAGGCGGCUUUGUAAGUUAGAGGUGAAAGCCCGGGGCUCAACCCCGGAAUUGCCUUUAAGACUGCAUCGCUUGAACGUCGGAGAGGUGAGUGGAAUUCCGAGUGUAGAGGUGAAAUUCGUAGAUAUUCGGAAGAACACCAGUGGCGAAGGCGACUCGCUGGACAGACAUUGACGCUGAGGCGCGAAAGCCAGGGGAGCAAACGGG
rnacentral:rRNA from 1 species